UACAGAGGUCUCAAGCGUUGUUCGGAUUCAUUGGGCGUAAAGGGUGCGUAGGUGGCGCGCUAAGUCGGGUGUGAAAUCUCGGAGCUUAACUCCGAAAUUGCAUUCGAUACUGGCGUGCUUGAGGACUGGAGAGGAGACUGGAAUUCCCGGUGUAGCGGUGAAAUGUGUAGAGAUCGGGAGGAACACCGGUGGCGAAGGCGGGUCUCUGGGCAAUUCCUGACGCUGAGGCGCGAAAGCGUGGGGAGCAAACGGG
rnacentral:rRNA from 1 species